AUUGAACGCUGGCGGCAUGCCUUACACAUGCACGUCGAACGGUAACAGGUCUUCGGAUGCUGACGAGUGGCGAACGGGUGAGUAAUACAUCGGAACGUGCCCGAUCGUGGGGGAUAACGAAGCGAAAGCUUUGCUAAUACCGCAUACGAUCUACGGAUGAAAGCGGGGGAUCUUCGGACCUCGCGCGGACGGAGCGGCCGAUGGCAGAUUAGGUAGUUGGUGGGAUAAAAGCUUACCAAGCCGACGAUCUGUAGCUGGUCUGAGAGGAUGAUCAGCCACACUGGGACUGAGACACGGCCCAGACUCCUAUGGGAGGCAGCAGUGGGGAAUUUUGGACAAUGGGCGCAAGCCUGAUCCAGCCAUGCCGCGUGCAGGAUGAAGGCCUUCGGGUUGUAAACUGCUUUUGUACGGAACGAAAAGGUGCCUUCUAAUAAAGGGCGCUCAUGACGGUACCGUAAGAAUAAGCACCGGCUAACUACGUG
rnacentral:rRNA from 1 species